rnacentral:lncRNA from 1 species
AUCGGGCCCUGCCGACUACCUUUACUUUUUUGUUUUCUGAAAAAAUAUAUGUAAUCGGGCUUCGACCCGACUUUGUAAUUUCCUUUCAGUAAUGAAUGAAACUUUUUCCUUUCUCCUUUUGUUUGUAAUGCCGAACAUUUCUGCGAUGUCGAACGUGAGUCGCUAACUUAAGUAAGUCGCUAACUCACAUAAGUCGGUAGGACUUCAACAACUUGUGCAGCCCC